ACAUUUAUGUUCCUUUUUUUUUUUCAAUCUCAUUGAGAAACACUGUUGGUUAUUUGGAGAUAAUGAAUUCUACAGUUUCUAAAAUGUGCUUUACCCUUGUUCCUCAAUUUGGUAUCCCGAGAGACCCAUGCUCAAGUAGGAAAUGUGUUUGCCGACUUCUAUGGAGAACACUAUUCUUAAAAUCCAUGUUAGAUCCAUAGAAGGGCUCCUCUCAUUAGGCAAAAGGAUGUUUCAUUAGCAAGCUCUAACAGAUUAUUUGUUGGGCUUCUUUUGAAGGACUCUCAAAGUGUGUUUUUUGUAUUGCUUGUUCUCUAUGCAAUUUCUUUUGGCUGAAUUUAAUUUGCUUAAGUCAAUUAGUCUUAUUUUUAUCUUAGCUAAUCAGUGAUUUUGCUAACUUCUCAUUCCCUUCUCUAUCUUUACCGAAAGUUUAACAACUAGGGAUGGCACUAUGGCUCAACCUGCAUUCAACCCAAUACUGAUGGGUUUAGGUUUGAUAUAACUAGAUUUGGGUUGUAAAUAGGCCGACUCAACUUAGUCCAUUUAUUAAAAGGACAGUUCCGGUUUACAAUCUUGACAUGCCUAACCCGUUGAAACCCAUUUAAUAAUCAGGUUAGGUCUACAUAGUUAUAAUUCGGCAUGUUUAGAACUUGUUUAACCUAUUUAAAUUAUUUAAAAUUUAUUUAACCUAUUUAAAAUUUAUUUAACUUGUUUAGCAUGAUCCGACCUGUUUAUUAAAUAGGUGGCACUGUUCAUGUUUGGAUUACCUGUAUAAUAAAGAUGUUGGCUUCAAUUUAGGAUUUUUGACCUAAUUAGUAAAUAGGUCGGUUUUAGGUUGUAGGUUUCUAAACUGACCCAUAUCUUAACCCAUCUGAUAUCCGACCAAUCUAAUUUAUUAUCAUUACUAAUUUUCAUAACUUUUUUAUAAUCUCGAACUUAACUUUGAUUCUAAAGAAUUUCGUCAUUCACAACCACAAUGAGCAUUGCCUAUAGGGAUUGGCAUGAUCCAUGGAGGUGGUAUCAUUCAUAAGAUGUUAGUAUAGCUAUCUAAUCUUAUUGCAUGACCUGACAAUUCAACUACAAAGAGAAAUUUUUUGGUAAUUAGUUUGGGUUUUAUAGUAUUUUUUACAUCUUAUGAUUUAAAAAUUAUUUUUACCAAUAAAUUAAGGUUAGGAUGGAGCUAACCAUUUUUUCCCCCAUUUUCUCUUUCAUCUAUCAUAAUCAAGUCUAGUUAUAAACAAUGGAAAACCAUGAAUUCAUAGUUUUGAGGCUCAAGAAAUUCUUUAAAGAUUGAGAAAAAAGAAAUAUAUAUGAGAAUAAGAAUCUCAACUAUUUCUUAAGAGUGUUUUCAUUGAAAUUUUGACCUUAUGAUAUGCCAAAGUGAAAGUAGGCCUUGACUUCCAUUCCCUAUAUAUGCUUGAGUCUCUACAAUAAACAAGAUAUUUUAUGGAAUUUUUAAAAAUGCAUUUCCAUGAAAAUAAUGAAUUCUCAAGGACCCUAGUUGUAGGAAAAUCAUACAAUCACACAUAGGGUUUAAAGUUUAAAGGAUGGAAAGAAACAAUCAUAAAAGAAAAAUAGGAUAACUUAUCCUUUUGUCAAGUAUAUUUGGAGUUUCUCCAACUAAUUUUUUGAGGAAUUUCUCAGUCAUAGUCUCAAAAUAAGUUUCUCCUUUGUGCAAUUAUAGUAUAUCUUGACUAAGUGGAGGCACACCAAGGUGAAAAGUUUACAUAAGUUUAUUUUGGGAUAAGAUGGUAGUGAUUGAGGAUGUUAACUAGAAUGUUAGACUUUUGGCUUAGGAGGGCUCGUCUAGAGACGGAGAAGGUUAUUAUUCAAUGGAUCUUUUGCAAUUAAGAUAAUACUGGCUUAAUUUUUGUUUUCUAUUCUUAUAUUUUUCUUCUCAUUUAUCUUUUCCUUUUUCUUAUUCAUUCCUUGUCAUUUUACCUUCUACACUUAUUUUUAUCUUAAUGAAUUGUUGAGCUUUACUUAAUCUUUCUCUCAAAAGAAGGUUAGGAUUGACAUUUAUGCUUUCAAGUAUAUUAUAUAUGUGAUAAAGUAUAUAUCUUAACUGCAUUCAUCAAACACAAACAAAUUUGCUUAAUAUUUAAUUUCCAACUUUUACUCCUAUAUAUAUAUGAGUAUAAAUUGUCACAAUCAUUUUCCCUUCUAAUAUUGGAUCAUCAUGAUAUCUCUUUGGUCAAUUUUUGUCUAUAAUUUUAGCAAAUGUUCAAUAUUAUCAAAUAUUUUGAUGAUACUUUACUCUCUUAUUUUGAUAUGCAGGCAUCAUAAUAAUGCCUUUUUUGCAAGGGUUGGAGGCGUGAGUAAUAUAGAGCUAAAUCGAUUAGAGCUAGAAUUGCUCUUCUUGUUGGACUUUAGAGUUAUGGUGAGUUCACGUGUUUUUGAGAGCUAUUGUUUGCACUUGGAGAAGAAAAUGAUGUGGAGCAUGACUAAUCAAAAGAUCACAAGAGCUAUAUUUGACGAUCCACAAGAUAAUGAAGCAAAGGGAUCAGUAAAUGGCUCCAGACAAAGUUCUUUGUCACCACCACAUCAUUCCAUAGAUUAAUAAUAUUCUGUGAAAUUUUUAGUAGCUUUUAUCCUCAAAUGUUGAAAUAGACAAGCUCAUAUAAAUCAUAUAGAUAAAAGGAAGAAAAGAAAAAACAAAAUGUACUUAAUGGGAUGGACUUUUUUUUCGCCAUUGAAAACUUAUAUAAAUGGAAUAGAAAUAAGAGAAAAGUAAUUGAAAAGAGGAAACUAUAUGGUUCAGAAACAUUGUUUAGUUGAACUUCUUUUUUUUUGAUUUAGUGAAUAUCUAGAAGUCAUUAUAAACAUGAAAAAUAUUGUAGCAAAUGACAAUGAUUUUAUUGUGCAUCCAAUGAACUAUUCAUAAUUUGUGGAAAAAAUGAUGAAAAGAAGGAAUUACACUCCAAUAAUUAUCUCCUAGUCAUUUUAUCAAAUUGAUGGUUAAAGUUAGAGCAAUGCUGCAAUGACUUAAAUGUUCUUAAAUAUAAAUAGAUGAAUAAGUUUUGUUGGCUUGACAUAUCAUUGUUUGAUUGUGUCAUACUUAGUGCAAAGAAAUAAUAAGAGGACUUGUAUAGGAUAAAUGAUUUAAUUAUUAACAAGUUGAUGUGGUAUUCUUAUCAACAUUUUUUAAAUUAUAUUUUGUCAUUCGUCAUUCAUACAAAAACUGUAUAAUAGUUACAAAAGAUUAUGUCAAUACUUUGGAUAUAAAUAGUUAUAAGCAGAAUUUCAAAUAACUUAAUAUUAAAAGAGAAGGUUGAAGUUGCUAGCAUGUGAUAAUUUAUUACUGGAUAUCAUUUCCCUAGUUGCUUUAUAUCAAUAUAUUCAGUUUAAAUGGAAUAUAUACACAUAUUACAUAUAUGUUUUACAUUCUAAUAGAUUGUUGAUUCAAGUACAAUUCUAGUUUCAAAAAGUAAUAAAGUUUUUAAGAUUAUAUCAACCUUUUAAUCCCUCAAAAUAAUAUGAUAGAUGGUUCCAUGGAGGAUAAUCUUAUGAAAAGCAUGGAAUACCAAAUGAUAUAAUGUAUUCAUUUUGCCAACUUAUAAAGUUUGAAUAUGAAAAGUAGUCUACAAGUUAUACAAAAAGGAGGCUUGGUUCUAGUAACAAUGAAUAUAGGCUAAUCAACUAAUCUCAAGAAAAAUCACAUAUUAAAAAAAACUUCUAAAUUCCAAACGGUUAUGAUGAUCAAGUAAAAAAAUAUAUAUAUCGUAUUAGGGCAAGUAUUAGUUGUCAAGUUUACAUAACCAUUAUACUUAAUAAGAUCAUCCAUAUAUAUCAAGUCCAUAACUUCAAAACUAAAUAGUCUCUCCCUCAACAUAUUGUCAUGUAGUCAUAUGGUACCAUUGCAAUAUAACAAUUACAAGCUUGGGCUUUUGAGAUUGAAGUUGUGGGUGAUUUUGGCAUAGGAAUGAAGGUUUUUAUGAGCAUACAAGUAGAUGUUUUGACAAGAGAGAGAGAGAAAGAAUUUCAUCUAGAAUAAACAUGAAGAAAUGAGAAGUAUACUUAAAUGUUUCCAAACCCAAAUAUUGAAGCAUGAUAUUUUAUUUUGUAAUGUAAUUAGGUGUUGGAGAGAAAAUAGUUAAUAUCUUUUGGGCGUAUGUAAUGAUGAUGAUUAAUUAUAGUCAAUUUGGAAAGGUCAUCUAAUUUGAUACAACAUUUAGGGCUAACAAGGAAUUUGAUCCUUUUUCACCAUUUAUUGGUUUUAAUUGUCAUUAGAAAACAAUAUAUUUUGGGAAUCUCUUAAACAUAAUGAAUUGUCAAUUUAUUAGUGGUUAUCUGAAAAUUGUUUUUAAAAUAAUAUUAGGGAAGAAAUUAAAUUCUAUUUUCAUAAAUUCAAGAUGUUACAAAGGCAAAAAAAAAAAUUCUUUGAUGACUUGGACAUGCCCAUGACAUAUGAAAUGAAAUGCAUUGACAUAUUUAAGUGUACUAGUGAAUAUCUAUGUGCAAAUGCACAUGUUUGAUAGGGUGAUUUUUUAACAAAAUCAACCUCUACUCCUAAUAUUGGAGAUUAUUAAAUAUGGUUCAAAAAUUUAAAAGGUUGUACUAAUUCUUCAUUGAACAUUGUAGUUUUUCAGCAAAGCCUAUCGAGGCAAUUACAACCUACAUGCCUAAAUAAACUUCCCAAAAUGGUUGUAGUAUAUGAAAAUGUUACAUACAAAACUUAGUUAUAUUAUGAUACUAAGAGACAAACUUGGUAGAACAAAUAUUACAAGGCAAGGUAGUUAGUAAGGUUAAAUAUUAGUUGCUAGUUAAUAAUUACUAAUUUUAACAUAACGGUUGAGUGCUCGUGAAUUGAAAAGUCCAAGUAACAAAACUUCACAAACAUAAGGUAGUCGAAAACUAAUAGUAAGAUUAGCACUCUUCGAUUUUUUGCCUUAAAAGAUUGAGUAUAGAGGUAAUUUCAUCAUUAAUCAUCCAUCAGUUUGUCAAUUUUAGCUAUAUAUGAGUUGCACUAAUAAUUGAUUUUUGUAGUUAAUGUGAUAAAUAAUUAAGUAUAAAAAUAAUUGAACGAUAGACCUCUGAUGAGAUUGCGAGCUUAGAGGCCGGCUCCGAGGAAUGUUUUCGAUAUGAGACUCGUCCCCUUUCGGUCUCGGGUUGAUGAGGUCUUCAUCCCGGUUCCCAAUUUUCUUCUCUAUAUUUCUCUCUAUAUUCAUAGUUAUUUACACAAGAAAAUAUACAAAAUAUAAAAAUGACUACUAGUAUAAUUAAAAAUGCGGAACUAAAGCAAAACCAUAGCAUUUUCCAUCCUAAAUUAUCUUCUUUAGAAAAAUAAAGAAGGGGCCAUUCUAGAAAGCAUAUUAUUAUAUCUCCAAAUAAGUAUAUACAUUUUCUCAAAUGGAAUACAUAUAAAUAAUUCCAUAUUUCAACUUCUAGCCUCAUUGUUGUUUUAAACUAGUUUUUAUUAGAAACAUUCCCCUACUAACAUUUAGCAUAUAUGGGUAUAAUUUCUUACAUGAUAGAACUUAUCAGAUACUUUAUUGCAAUCUAUGCGAGGUGGAUGAAAAGAUGCUUUCAAUAAGGCAUAGGAUAUAUACUUAGUGAGUUCUAACAUAAGAAAUUGGUGAUCGUUAAAAGGAUUCUAGAAUUAAAGUUGUCAUGUUGCUUGUUCUUUAUUUUUUGAAUCCUCUCAAAGUUAACUAAAAGAUUGCUUUUGGUUGGAUCUAAGCUACUUAAGUUUUUAAGUCUAAUAGUCGGAUUAGUUAAUGAGUUUGAUUUUGCAAAUUAGUCCUUUCACUCUAUCUUUUUCCUUAGAAUUUUCAUAGUUAUUUUAUAGCCACGGACCCAACUUUAUUACCCAAAUAUUUUUCUUUUAUAGCUGAAUACACAUACUCUAAGUAGAAUCUAGAGAGGCAGGAUCAUUCACAAGGAAGUGGUGUUAUCAAGCUCCAAUCUUGGUGUUAUAAAGCAUAAAAAAAAAAUUCGGUAAUUCUUUUGGAUUUGAUAGCAUU
rnacentral:lncRNA from 1 species